GAUGAACGCUGGCGGCGUGCCUAAUACAUGCAAGUCGAGCGAACAGAUGAGGAGCUUGCUCCUCUGACGUUAGCGGCGGACGGGUGAGUAACACGUGGAUAACCUACCUAUAAGACUGGGAUAACUUCGGGAAACCGGAGCUAAUACCGGAUAAUAUAUUGAACCGCAUGGUUCAAUAGUGAAAGACGGUUUUGCUGUCACUUAUAGAUGGAUCCGCGCCGCAUUAGCUAGUUGGUAAGGUAACGGCUUACCAAGGCAACGAUGCGUAGCCGACCUGAGAGGGUGAUCGGCCACACUGGAGCUGAGACACGGUCCAGACUCCUACGGGAGGCAGCAGUAGGGAAUCUUCCGCAAAGGGCGAAAGCCUGACGGAGCAACGCCGCGUGAAUGAUGAAGGUCUUCGGAUCGUAAAACUCUGUUAUUAGGGAAGAACAAAUGUGUAAGUAACUAUGCACGUCUUGACGGUACCUAAUCAGAAAGCCACGGCUAACUACGUG
rnacentral:rRNA from 1 species